UAGUCUUGUACAGAUGUUAGAUGAUUCGUGUUACAACUAUUCAGGCCCUUAUCAAGGCAGAAUGAUUUCAAAUUUUAGACUAUCUCUUAGCUUAUUGUUCUAAUCAAUUAUGUAGUUUCUUUGAAAUCAAACAUUUUAUGGUGUUAUCUGUUACAACUAGGCUUAUAUUGGUGAUAAGGGCUUUGUUUGAUGGCUUGAGAUCCCAUAGUGAAACUAAACGGGUAAUCUUGAUGUGUA